AUGUCGGCCUGCUGUCAUGCUUUCAAGAAAAGGAAUAGACCUGUCAGGGCGGUGUUUGAAACCAAUGACAAGACAUUGCUGCCUGCCCGCGUCCUCAACCCCACCCACCUACCCGCACAGAAUAGACUCUGCCCAAACACCCGUCAUAGCUGCCGAUGGAGUCCACUGAGAUCGGCGGAGAUGAUAAAAGGACGCGUCGAACUCCACCAUCGCCAUGCAUCACCGCUGGAAGGAAUAGAGGAGACUGUCGCCGCUCAUGGUAUCAUCAUCCCGGCGUCGAUCGUCAUCGAUCUGGAUUUUGAGGGAAGCUCCAGAUCUGAAGUGGUAGAUGGUAGCUCCUCCAAUCCACUUUCGCGUGGCGUCCGAGCCGGCGAUGCACGCGACUUCGGCUAG
rnacentral:rRNA from 1 species